UACGGAGGGUGCGAGCGUUGUCCGGAAUCACUGGGCGUAAAGGGCGCGUAGGCGGCUUGGUAAGCGCGCGGUGAAAGUCCGGGGCUCAACCCCGGAUCGGCCGUGCGGACUGCCGGGCUGGAGCACUGUAGGGGCGGGUGGAACUCCGGGUGUAGCGGUGGAAUGCGUAGAGAUCCGGAAGAACACCGGUGGCGAAGGCGGCCCGCUGGGCAGUGGCUGACGCUGAGGCGCGACAGCGUGGGGAGCAAACAGG
rnacentral:rRNA from 1 species